GAUGAACGCUAGCGAUAGGCCUAACACAUGCAAGUCGAGGGGCAGCAUAAGGAAGUAGCAAUACUUUCUGGUGGCGACCGGCGCACGGGUGAGUAACACGUAUGCAACCUGCCUUCAACAAGGGGAUAACCCGUUGAAAGACGGACUAAUACCCUAUAACACAGGGGUCCCGCAUGGGAAUAUUUGUUAAAGGACAACCGGUUGAAGAUGGGCAUGCGUUCCAUUAGCUAGUUGGCGGGUAACGGCCCACCAAGGCAACGAUGGAUAGGGGAACUGAGAGGUUUAUCCCCCACACUGGUACUGAGACACGGACCAGACUCCUACGGGAGGCAGCAGUGAGGAAUAUUGGUCAAUGGACGCAAGUCUGAACCAGCCACGUCGCGUGAAGGAAGACGG
rnacentral:rRNA from 1 species